rfam:Schistosoma margrebowiei strain Zambia genome assembly, scaffold: SMRZ_contig0004027
AUCCAACAGACGAGUCCCAAAUGAAACGGAAUGCGCGUCCUGGAU